GUUUCUCUUCUUUAAUGUGUUAAUUGUACUAUAUAUAACAUUAUUUUAAAAUUUCAAAAAGUUUAUGUCACAUACAAAAACCAUCAAUAAAAAAUAUAAUUCUCCAUCUACAACCAGAAAAAAGAAAAACUAACAUUGGAAAAACAAAAAAUUAAUGUAAAAGAAACAAACCGACAAAUAAUAUUAUAAAUAAAAUAAAUUUAUAAGACACAAUCCGCGCGA
rnacentral:lncRNA from 1 species